rnacentral:rRNA from 1 species
GACGAACGCUGGCGGCGUGCCUAAUACAUGCAAGUAGAACGCACAGUUUAUACCGUAGCUUGCUACACCAUAGACUGUGAGUUGCGAACGGGUGAGUAACGCGUAGGUAACCUGCCUGGUAGCGGGGGAUAACUAUUGGAAACGAUAGCUAAUACCGCAUAAUAUUGAUUAUUGCAUGAUAAUUGAUUGAAAGAUGCUAUUGCAUCACUACCAGAUGGACCUGCGUUGUAUUAGCUAGUAGGUGAGGUAACGGCUCACCUAGGCGACGAUACAUAGCCGACCUGAGAGGAGGAUCGGCCACACUGGGACUGAGACACGGCCCAGACUCCUACGGGAGGCAGCAGUAGGGAAUCUUCGGAAAUGGACGAAAGUCUGACCGAGCAACGCCGCGUGAGUGAAGAAGGGUUUCGGAUCGUAAAGCUCUGUUGUAAGAGAAGAACGGGUGUGAGAGUGGAAAGUUCACACUGUGACGGUAUCUUACCAGAAAGGGACGGCUAACUACGUG